ensembl:lincRNA
GGUCACUGAGAUCUGCCUGUGUGUAGGAGAGACACUUCGAAGGCUGUGCAGAGGAGCCUGAACCUUCACUGGCCAAUUUAAAUUACAAGCAGCCCUCGGGAAUGGAUUAAGUUUGUAAGUCAAGGGUGCACUGUGCCUCGGUUUCUGUAUCAGAUUGUUGGAGGAAAAGCUUCCAAAGUUAAACAAAGUAAGACAUUCCUCACGGUCACUUUAUCAGCUGGGAAACAGAGACUUCACCGUUUUCAGCAAUUGUCUCUUUAUUUAUUUGCCCCUCUAGAGAUAACACGUCUUUAUCUACAGCUUUACUUUGUACCUAAUAUUUGUUGUAGGCCAUUAUCUCUGUGAGAUUCCAUGGGAAACAACUUGUCCCCUUUCACAGGAAUUGCAGGAAAAGUGCUUUAGAAUAGAGCUGCUCUGUCUUCCCCAGCGGGUGACUGUUAAAGCAGUGUGUUGCAGCUGUCCAGAAAGAGCAUGCGGCCUCCUACCCUUCUCCUUCCACAAGAGCCGGUGUGACUUGAGAAUCGUGACUUAACCAUUUUCAACCCAACUUGCAUAAGAUGACCUUGAAGCCCUGCAAGGAGUACUGUGUCUCCCAGCCCUGUAGUGUCACUUCGGAGAGUGCAGAGAGCUCCCCAAGCUCAGAGUGGCCCUGCUGUGCUCCACCCAGAGUACACGAUGAGAUCUUUCAUGUCCCCCUCCCCGGUGGCUGCCUGUUUGAUUUUCAAUGUUUGCUACAUACAACAUGUGUAAAGCGUCUCUUACAUUCGUCAUUGUACAUCACGCAAAACUUCAGGAUGGACUCUGAAAGGGCAAUGACUGCUCAGUGGGUGCCUGCGUUUGGGACAAUGCCAGAUUCUUCUCGAUGAAGCUUAUGAAACACUUACUCCUACCGUCAGUGACUAAGAAGGGCCUCUUUCCAAAUAUUAGGAAAAUUUGUUAGCUACAAAAAUGGUAUUAAACAUGAAGGUGAAAUGAGCAUCUUUGCAUAUUUUAAGAGCCAUUCGUAUUCCUUUUUCUGCACACGCUAGUUUAAAUCCUGAACCCGUUUUUUUCUUCUUAGUUGUACCUCUGCAGGAGUGUGUAUGCAGUCAGCCAUUUUUUUUAAUACUGUAAAGUGAAGAGCUGUUUUUUUUCCAGCAUAAUUUUUGUCCUUGGAAUUGUUUGUAUCAUUCUUUGUAGCUUUUUAUGUAUUUUGUAUUCAGAUACCUCAGUCCUUUCACUUGUUUCAAGUUUUAUAUCACAUUUACAAGGACUCCUCUCCUUAAAAAAGAAUCUGCCAUGGCUUUUUUCCCGGUACUUCCCUCCACCCCUGAACUGGGGAUUGGACCCUGAUAACUGAACAAGUUCUCAGGCUGGUCUUGACCUUUCAAUCCUCUUGGCUCAGCCUCCUAGAGCGCCUUCUGGAACUCACAUUGCUUCAUUUAUGAAGCUGGAAAUCUUGCUGCAUUUGGAAUUCACUCUGUGACAGGUGUGAGGUAGGGACUUAGCUUGCUUUUGAGUAGUUGCCUGCCCAGUUGCCUCUGUGCUGUUAAUCUUCUCCACACUGACUGGAAAUCACAUCUGCGUUAUACACUAAAGUCCUUCGUGAAGUUCAGAUCACUUACAUUGUUCUGCCUGUCGGCCUGUGAGUCAAUUCCACAUCAUUUCCACCACUGUAGCUUAGUACAGUAGGUUUUUAAGCCUAAGUAACAACUAAUUCCCUCCUAAGACUUUCUUUCCAGAAUUCUCCCAGCUACGUCUGCUUGUUUAUUUUACAAAUUAAUUUCAGUAACAGUUUUUCUGAUACAAAACAAUUUUUUUUAAUUUCUGUUAGCUAAUUUUGAGAUCAUAUUAACUUUUCCCUUUACUAAUUUGAGUGUAAUAAACCUUUCUCACUUCAGAAUAUUUCCCGUGCUUUGGCAGCAUUUUAAGCUUUGCUCUUGUAGAUAUAGCACCCUUCUAAUGAGGUUUAUUCCUAAGCAUUUUACUAUUUUCUUCCCACAGUAAAUGGAAACAGUUCUUCCUUAACACCCCCAACUGGGUUGGUUUGUAGGUAAAAACUGUCAAUUUUUGUGUAUUAAUUUUGCUCCGGUCAUUGUAUUCUUAUCUGUAAUUUUUCAUGUAAUUAUUUGGGGUUUCUGGUUAAAUAAACAUGUCACCUGCAGGUAAUUAUCACUGCACU